CAGCAGCCGCGGUAAUACGUAGGUCCCGAGCGUUGUCCGGAUUUAUUGGGCGUAAAGCGAGCGCAGGCGGUUAGAUAAGUCUGAAGUUAAAGGCUGUGGCUUAACCAUAGUACGCUUUGGAAACUGUUUAACUUGAGUGCAAGAGGGGAGAGUGGAAUUCCAUGUGUAGCGGUGAAAUGCGUAGAUAUAUGGAGGAACACCGGUGGCGAAAGCGGCUCUCUGGCUUGUAACUGACGCUGAGGCUCGAAAGCGUGGGGCGCAAACAGGAUUAGAUACCCCAGUAGUCCCUGUCUCUUAUACA
rnacentral:rRNA from 1 species